UACGUAGGGGGCGAGCGUUGUCCGGAAUCAUUGAGCGUAAAGCGCGUGUAGGCGGCUCGGUAAGUCCGGUGUGAAAACUUGGGGCUCAACCCCAAGCCUGCACUGGAUGCUGUCGAGCUCGAGUCCGGGAGGGGAGAGCGGAAUUCCUAGUGUAGCGGUGAAAUGCGCAGAUAUUAGGAAGAACACCGGUGGCGAAGGCGGCUCUCCGGAACGGUACUGACGCUGAGACGCGAAAGCGUGGGGAGCGAACAGG
rnacentral:rRNA from 1 species